rnacentral:pre_miRNA from 1 species
GGCCUCCCUCUGUGGGGUGGUCAAUCUGGGGGCUUUGUGAUCGAUCACCCCACAGAGGGAGGCC